rnacentral:tRNA from 1 species
UGCCCGAGUGGUGAAAUUGGUAGACGCACCAGACUCAAAAUCUGGCGAGGGUGACCUCGUGUCGGUUCGAUUCCGACCUCGGGCACCAU